GUCGAACGGUAACAGGAAGCAGCUUGCUGCUUUGCUGACGUGUGGCGGACGGGUGAGUAAUGUCUGGGAAACUGCCUGAUGGAGGGGGAUAACUACUGGAAACGGUAGCUAAUACCGCAUAACGUCGCAAGACCAAAGAGGGGGACCUUCGGGCCUCUUGCCAUCGGAUGUGCCCAGAUGGGAUUAGCUAGUAGGUGGGGUAAAGGCUCACCUAGGCGACGAUCCCUAGCUGGUCUGAGAGGAUGACCAGCCACACUGGAACUGAGACACGGUCCAGACUCCUACGGGAGGCAGCAGUGGGGAAUAUUGCACAAUGGGCGCAAGCCUGAUGCAGCCAUGCCGCGUGUAUGAAGAAGGCCUUCGGGUUGUAAAGUACUUUCAGCGGGGAGGAAGGGAGUAAAGUUAAUACCUUUGCUCAUUGACGUUACCCGCAGAAGAAGCACCGGCUAACUCCGUGCCAGCAGCCGCGGUAAUACGGAGGGUGCAAGCGUUAAUCGGAAUUACUGGGCGUAAAGCGCACGCAGGCGGUUUGUUAAGUCAGAUGUGAAAUCCCCGGGCUCAACCUGGGAGCUGCAUCUGAUACUGGCAAGCUUGAGUCUCGUAGAGGGGGGUAGAAUUCCAGGUGUAGCGGUGAAAUGCGUAGAGAUCUGGAGGAAUACCGGUGGCGAAGGCGGCCCCCUGGACGAAGACUGACGCUCAG
rnacentral:rRNA from 1 species